UAAUCGCCAGGACAGUUUUUCGAUACUCGCACGGAUUCUACCUUUUCCUGGUACUCUCCCGGAUUCUACUUAUUUUUUCGUACUCACACUGAUUCGACCCUUUUNNNNNNNNNNNNNUUCCGGUACUCGUCGGGACAGUUUUUCGAUACUCGCACAGAUUCUACCUUUUCCCGGUAGUCUAACGGAUUCUAAUAUUUUUCGGUACUCACACUGAUUAGACCCUUUUCCGGUACUCGUCCGGACAAUUUUUCUAUACUCGCAUGGAUUCUACUUGUUCCCGAUACUUGCUUGGAUUCUAUUAUAUAUCGGUACUCACAUUGAUUCGAUCAUUUUCCGGUACUCGUCGGGACAAUUUUUCGAUACUCGCACGAAUUCUCCCUUUUCCUGGUAAUCGCCCGGAUUCUUCCAUUUUUCGGUACUCACAUGAAUUCGACCCUUUUUUGGUAAUCGCCGGGACAGUUUUUCGAUACUCGCACGGAUUCUACCUUUUCCCGGUACUCUCUCAGAUUCUAAUAUUUUUCGGUACUCACACUGAUUCGACCCUUUUUCGGUACUCGUCCGGAAAAUUUUUCGAUAGUCGCAUGGAUUCUACCUUUUCCCGAUACUCGCUUGGAUUCUAUUAUUUAUCGGUACUCACAUUGAUUCGACCAUUUUCUGGUACUCGUCGGGACAAUUUUUCGAUACUCGCACGGAUUCUCCCUUUUCCCGGUAAUCGCCCGGAUUCUUCCAUUUUUCGGUACUCACAUUAAUUCGACCCUUUUUUGGUAAUCGCCGGGACAGUUUUUCGAUACUCGCACGGAUUCUACCUUUUCCCGGUACUCUCCCGGAUUCUACUAUUUUUCGGUACUCACAUUGAUUCGACCCUUUUUCGGUACUCGUCGGGACAGUUUUUCGAUACUCGCACGGAUUCUACCUUUUCCCAGUACUCUCCCGGAUUCUAAUAUUUUUCGGUACUCAUAUUGAUUCUACCCUUUUUUGGUGAUCGUCGGGACAGAUUUUCGAUACUCGCACGGAUUCUACCUUUACCGAGUACUCUCCCGGAUUCUAUUAUUUUUCGGUACUCACAUUGAUUCAACCCUUUUCCAGUACUCGUCAGGACAAUUUUUCGAUACUCGCAUGGAUUCUACCUUUUCCCGGUACUCACUCGGAUUUUAUCAUUUUUCGGUAAUCACAUUGAUUCGACCAUUUUUUUGUAAUAGCCGGGACAGUUUUUCGAUUCUCGCACGGAUUCUACCUUUUCCCAGUACUCUCCCGGAUGCUACUAUUUUUCGGUACUCACACUGAUUCAACCCUUUUCGGGUACUCGUUAGGACAAUUUUUCGAUACUCGCAUGGAUUCUACCUUUUUUCCAUAGUUGCCCGGAUUCUAUUAUUUUUCGGUACUCACAUUAAUCGACCAUUUUUUUGUAAUUGCCGGGACAGUUUUUCGAUACUCGCACGGAUUCUACCUUUUCCCGGUACUCUUCCGGAUUCUACUAUUUUUCGGUACUCACACUGAUUCGACCCUUUUCCGGUACUCGUCAGGAAAAUUUUUCGAUACUCGCAUGGAUUCUGCCUUUUCCCGGUACUCGUCCGGAUUCUAUUAUUUUUCGGUACUCAUAUUGAUUCUACCCUUUUUUGGUGAUCGUCGGGACAGUUUUUCGAUACUCGCACGGAUUCUACCUUUUCUUGGUACUCUUCCGGAUUCUACUAUUUUUCGGUACUCACAUAGAUUCGACCCUUUUCCGGUACUCGUCAGGACAAUUUUUCGAUACUCGCGUGGAUUCUACCUUUUCCCGACACUCGCCCGGAUUCUAUUAUUUUUCGGUACUCACAUUGAUUUGACCCUUUUUUGGUAAUCGCCGGGACAGUUUUUCGAUACUCGCACGGAUUCUACCUUUUCCCGGUACUCUCCCGGAUUCUACUAUUUUUCGGUACUCAAACAGAUUCGACCCUUUUCCGGUACUGUCCGGACAAUUUUUCGAUGCACGCAUGGAUUCUACCUUUUCCCGAUACUCGCCCGGAUUCUAUUAUUUAUCGGUACUCACAUUGAUUCGACCCUUUUCCGGUACUCGUCGGGCCAAUUUUUCGAUACUCGCACGGAUUCCCUUUUUUCUCGGUACUCGCCCUGAUUCUUCCAUUUUUCAGUACUCACAUUGAUUCGACCAUUUUUAUCUAAUCGCCGGGAUAGGUUUUCGAUACUCACACGGAUUCUACCUUUUCUCGGUACUCGCCCGGAUUCUAUUAUUUUUCGGUACUCACAUUGAUUCGACAUUUUUUUCGAUACUCGUCGGGACAAUUUUUCUAUACUUGCACGGAUUCUCCCUUUUCCCGGUACUAGACCGAAUUCUUCUAUUUUUCGGUACUCACUUUGAUUCGACCCUUUUUUGGUAUUCGACAGGACUGUUUUUCGAUACUCGCACGGAUUCUACCUUUUCCCGGUACUCUCCCGGAUACUACUAUUUUUCGGUACUCCCACAGAUUCGACCCUUUUCCGGUACUCGUUAGGACAAUUUUUCGAUACUCGCAUGGAUUCUACCUUUUCCCGGUACUCGCCCGGAUUCUAUUAUUUUUCGGUACUAUCAAUUAUUCGACCCUUUUUUGGUAAUCGUCGGGACAGUUUUUCGAUACUCGCACGGAUUCUACCUUUUCCCGGUACUCGCCCGAAUUCUAUUAUUUUUCGGUACUCACAUUGAUUCGACAUUUUUUCCGAUACUCAUCGGGACAAUUUUUCUAUACUUGCACGGAUUCUCCAUUUUCCUGGUACUAGACCGAAUUCUUCUAUUUUUCGGUACUCACUUUGAUUCGACCCUUUUUUGGUAUUCGACAGGACUGUUUUUUGAUACUCGCACGGAUUCUACAUUUUCCCGGUACUCUCCUGGAUUCUACUAUUUUUUGGUCCUCACACUAAUUCGACCCUUUUCCGGUACUUGUCAGGACAUUUUUUCGAUACUCGCUUGGAUUCUACCUUUUCCCGAUACUCGCUCAAAUUCUAUUAUUUAUCGGUACUCACAUUGAUUCGACCCUUUUUGUGUAAUCGUCAGGACAGUUUUUCGAUACUCGCAUGGAUUCCAGCUUUUGCCGGUACUCGCCCGGAUUCUACUAUUUUUCGGUCCUCACACUCAUUCGAGCCUUUUCCGGUACUCAUCAGGACAAUUUGUCGAUACUCGCAUGCAUUCUACCCUUUCCCGGUACUCGCCCGGAUUCUAUUAUUAUUCGGUACUCACAAUUAUUCGACCCUUUUUUGGUAAUCGCCGGGACAGUUUUUCGAUACUCGCACGGAUUCUACCUUUUCCCGGUACUCUCCCGGAUACUACUAUUUUUCUGUACUCACGCAGAUUCGACCAUUUUCCGGUACCCGUCAGGACAAUUUUUCGAUAGUCGCAUGGAUUCUACCUUUUCUUUGUACUCGCCCGGAUUCUAUUAGUUUUCGGUACUUACACUGAUUCGACCAUUUUCCGGUACUCGUCGGGACAGUUUUUCGAUACUCGCACGGAUUCUACCUUUUCCCGGUACUCUCGCAGAUUCUAAUAUUUUUCGGUACUCACACUGAUUCGACCCUAUUCCGGUACUCGUCCGGACAAUUUUUCGAUACUCGCAUGGAUUCUAUUAUUUAUCGGUACUCACAUUGAUUCCACCAUUUUGCCGUACUCGCCCGGAUUCUAUUUUUUUUCGGUACUCACAAUUUUUCGAUACACGCAUGGAUUCAACCUUUUCCCGAUACUCGCUCGAAUUCUAUUAUUUUUCGGUACUCACAUUGAUUCGAUCCUUUUCCGGUAAUCGUCGGGACGAUUUUUCGAUACUCGAACGGAUUCCGCUUUUUCCCGGUACUCGCCCGGAUUCUUCCAUUUUUCGAUACUCGCAUUGAUUCGACCUUUUUUUGGUAAUCACCGGGACAGGUUUUCGAUACUCACACGGAUUCUACCUUUUCCCGGUACUCGCCCGGAUUCUAUUAUUUUUCGGUACUCACAUUGAUUCGACAUUUUUUCCGAUACUGGUCGGGAAAAUUUUUCGAUACUCGCAUGGAUUCUCCNNNNNNNNNNNNNNNNNNNNNNNNNNNNNNNNNNNNNNNNNNNNNNNNNNNNNNNNNNNNNNNNNNNNNNNNNNNNNNNNNNNNNNNNNNNNNNNNNNNNNNNNNNNNNNNNNNNNNNNNNNNNNNNNNNNNNNNNNNNNNNNNNNNNNNNNNNNNNNNNNNNNNNNNNNNNNNNNNNNNNNNNNNNNNNNNNNNNNNNNNNNNNNNNNNNNNNNNNNNNNNNNNNNNNNNNNNNNNNNNNNNNNNNNNNNNNNNNNNNNNNNNNNNNNNNNNNNNNNNNNNNNNNNNNNNNNNNNNNNNNNNNNNNNNNNNNNNNNNNNNNNNNNNNNNNNNNNNNNNNNNNNNNNNNNNNNNNNNNNNNNNNNNNNNNNNNNNNNNNNNNNNNNNNNNNNNNNNNNNNNNNNNNNNNNNNNNNNNNNNNNNNNNNNNNNNNNNNNNNNNNNNNNNNNNNNNNNNNNNNNNNNNNNNNNNNNNNNNNNNNNNNNNNNNNNNNNNNNNNNNNNNNNNNNNNNNNNUCGGUACUCACAAUUCCUUCGAACCUUUUUUGGUAAUCGCCGAGACAGUUUUUCGAUACUCGCACAGAUUCUACCUUUUCCAGGUACUCUCCCUGAUUCUACUAUUUUUCGAUACUCACACUGAUUCGACCAUUUUCCGGUACUCGUCCGGACAAUUUUUCGAUACUCGCAUGGAUUCUACCUUUUCCCGAUACUCACCUGGAUUCUAUUAUUUAUCGGUACUUACAUUGAUUCGACCAUUUUCCGGUACUCGUCAGGACAAUUUUUCGAUACUCGCACGGAUUCUCCCUUUUCUCGGUACUCGCCCGGAUUCUAUUUUUUUCGGUACUCACAUUAAUUCGACCCUUUUUUGGCAAUCACCGGGACAGUUUUUCGAUACUCGCACAGAUUCUACCUUAUCCUGGUACUCUCCCAAACACUACUAUUUUUCGGUCGUCACACUGAUUCGACCAUUUUCCGGUACUCGUCAGGACAAUUUCUCGAUACUCGCACGGAUUCUCCCUUUUCCCGGUACUCGCCCGGAUUCUAUUUUUUUCGGUACUCACAUUCAUUCGACCAUUUUUUGGCAAUCACCGGGACAGUUUUUCGAUACUCGCACGGAUUCUACCUUAUCCUGGUACUCUCCCAAACACUACCAUUUUUCGGUCGUCACACUGAUUCGACCAUUUUCCGGUACUCGUCAGGACAAUUUUUCGAUACUCGCAUGGAUUCUACAUUUUCCCGGUACUCGCCCGGAUUCUAUUUUUUUCGGUACUCACAAUUAUUCGACCCUUUUUUGGUAAUCAUCGGGACAGUUUUUCGAUAAUGGCACGGAUUAUACCUUAUCCUGGUACUCUCCCUGAUUCUACUAUUUUUCGGUACUCACAUUGAUUCGACCAUUUUCCGGUACUCGUCCGGACAAUUUUUCGAUACUCGCAUGGAUUCUACCUUUUCCCGAUACUCACCUAGAUUCUAUUAUUUAUCGGUACUCACAUUGAUUCGACAAUUUUCCGGUACUCGUCAGGACAAUUUUUCGAUACUCGCACGGAUUCUCCCUUUUCCCGGUACUCGCCCGGAUUCUAUUUUUUUCUGUACUCACAUUAAUUCGCCCCUUUUUUGGCAAUCACCGGGACAGUUUUUCGAUACUCGCACGGAUUCUACCUUAACCUGGUACUCUCCCAAACACUACUAUUUUUCGGUCGUCACACUGAUUCGACCAUUUUCCGGUACUCAUCAGGACAAUUUUUCAAUUCUCCAUGGAUUCUACCUUUUCCCGGUACUUGCCCGGAUUCUAUUAUUUUUCGGUACUCAAAAUUAUUCGACACUUUUUUGGUAAUCGCCGGAACUGUUUUUCGAUACUCGCACAUAUUCUACCUUUUCCCGGUACUCUCCCUGAUUCUACUAUUUUUCGGUACUCACACUAAUUCGACCACUUUCCUGUACUCGUCAGGACAAUUUUUCGAUACUCGCAUGGAUUCUACCUUUUCCCGGUACUCGUCCGGAUUCUCUUAUUUUUCGGUACUCACAAUUAUUUGACCCUUUUUUGGUAAUCGUCGGGACAGUUUUUUGAUACUCGCACAGAUUCUACCGUUUCCCGGUAUUCUCCCGGAUGCUACUAUUUUUCCGUACUCACACUGAUUCUACCCUUUUCCGGUACUCGUCAGGACAAUUUUUCAAUACUCGCGUGGAUUCUACCUUUUCCCGGUACUCGCCCGGAUUCUAUUAUUUUUCGGUACUCAAAAUAAUUCGACCCUUUUUUGGUAAUCGCCAGGAAAGUUUUUCGAUACUCGCACGGAUUCUCCAUUUUCCCGGUACUCGCCCGGAUUCUUCGGUUUUUCGGUACUCACAUUAAUUCGACCCUUUUUUGGCAAUCACCGGGACAGUUUUUCGAUACUCGCACGAAUUCUACCUUUUCCUGGUACUCUCCCGAAUACUACUAUUUUUCGGUCGUCACACUGAUUCGACCCUUUUCCGAUACUCGUCAGGACAAUUUUUCAAUACUCGCAUGGAUUCUUCCUUUUCCUGGUCCUCGCCCGGAUUCUAUUAUUUUUCGGUACUCAAAAUUAUUCGACCCUUUUUUGGUAAUCGCCGGGACAGUUUUUUGAUACUCGCACAGAUUCUACCUUUUCCCGGUACUCUCCCGGAUUCUACUAUUUUUCGGUACUCACACUGAUUCGACCAUUUUUCGGUACUCGUCAGGACAAUUUUUCGAUACUCGCAUGGAUUCUACCUUUUCCCGGUACUCGCCCAGAUUCUAUUAUUUUCCGGUACUCACAAUUAUUCGACCCUUUUUUCGUAAUCGCCGGGAAGGUUUUUCGAUACUCUCCCGGAUACUACUAUUUUUUGGUCGUCACACUGAUUCGACCCUUUUCCGGUACUCGUCAGGACAAUUUUUCGAUACUCGCAUGGAUUCUACGUUUUCCCGGUACUCGCCCGGAUUCUAUUUUUUUCGGUACUCACAAUUAUUCGACCCUUUUUUGGUAAUCACCGGGACAGUUUUUCGAUACUCGCACGGAUUCUACCUUAUCCUGGUACUCUCCCAAACACUACUAUUUUUCGGUCGUCACACUGAUUCGACCAUUUUCCGGUACUCGUCAGGACAAUUUUUCGAUACUCGCAUAGAUUCUACCUUUUCCCGGUACUCGCCCGGAUUCUAUUAUCUUUAGGUACUCAAAAUUAUUUGACCCAUUUUUGGUAAUCACCGAGAAAGUUUUUCGAUACUCGCACGGAUUCUCCAUUUUCCCGGUACUCGCCCGGAUUCUUCCAUUUUUCGGUACUCACAUUAAUUCGACCCUUUUUUGGCAAUCACCGGGACAAUUUUUCUAUACUCUCACGAAUUCUACCUUUUCCUGGUACUCUCCCGGAUACUACUAUUUUUCGGUCGUCACACUGAUUCGACCCUUUUUCGGUACUCGUCAGGACAAUUUUUCAAUACUCGCAUGGAUUCUUCCUUAUCUUGGUACUCGCCCGGAUUCUAUUAUUUUUCGGUACUCACAAUUAUUCGACCCUUUUUUCGUAAUCGCCGGGACAGUUUUUCGAUACUCGCACAGAUUCUACCUUUUUCGGAUAUUCUCCCUGAUUCUACUAUUUUUCGGUACUCACACUGAUUCGACCAUUUUCCGGUACUCGUCAGGACAAUUUUUCGAUACUCACAUGGAUUCUACCUUUUCCAAGUACUCGCCCGGAUUCUAUUAUUUUUCAGUAGUCACAAUUAUUCGAACCUUUUUUGGUAAUCGCGGGGAAAGUUUUUCGAUACUCUCCCAGAUUCUACGAUUUUUCGGUCGUCACACUGAUUCGACCCUUUUCCGGUACUCGUCAGGACAAUUUUUUGAUACUCGCAUGGAUUCUACCUUUUCCCGGUACUCGCCCGGAUUCUAUUAUUUUUCGGUACUCACAAUUAUUCGACCCUUUUUUGGUAAUCACUAGGACAGUUUUUCGAUACUCUCCCUGAUACUACUAUUUUUCGGUCGUCACACUGAUUCGACCAUUUUCCGCUACUCGUCAGGACAAUUUUUCGAUACUCGCACGGAUUCUCCAUUUUCCCGGUGCUCGCCCAGAUUAUUCCAUUUUUCGGUACUCACAUUAAUUCGACCCUUUUUUGGCAAUCACCGGGACAGUUUUUCGAUACCCGCACGAAUUCUACCUUUUUCUGGUACUCUCCCGGAUACUACUAUUUUUUGGUCGUCACACUGAUUCGACCCUUUUCCGGUACUUGUCAGGACAAUUUUUCGAUACUCGCAUGGAUUCUACCUUUUCCCGGUACUCGCCCGGAUUAUAUUAUUUUUCGGUACUUAAAAUUAUUCGACCCUUUUUUGCUAAUCGCCGGGACAGUUUUUAGAUACUCGCACAGAUUCUACCUUUUCCCGAUACUCUCCCUGAUUCUACUAUUUUUCGGUACUCACACUGAUUCGACCAUUUUCCGGUACUCGUCAGGACAAUUUUUUGAUACUCGCAUGGAUUCUACCUUUUCCCGGUACUCGCUCGGAUUCUAUUAUUUUUCGGUACUCACAAUUAUUCAACCCUUUUUUGGUAAUCACCGGGAAAGUUUUUCGAUACUCGCACGGAUUCUACCUUUUCCUAGUACUCUCCCGGAUACUACUAUUUUUUGGUCGUCACACUGAUUAGACCCUUUUCCGGUACUCGUCAGGGCAAUUUUUCGAUACUCGCACGGAUUCUCCCGUUUCCCGGUACUCUCCCGGAUUCUUCCAUUUUUCGGUACUCACAUUAAUUGGACCGUUUUUUGGCAAUCACCGGGACAGUUUUUCGAUACUCGCACGAAUUUUACCUUUUCUUGGUACUCUCCCAGACACAACUAUUUUUCGGUCGUCACACUGAGUCGACCAUUUUUCGGUACUCGUCAGGACAAUUUUUCAAUACUCGCAUGGAUUCUACCUUUUCCCGGUACUCGCCCGGAUUCUAUUAUUUUUCGGUACACAAAAUUAUUAGACCCUUUUUUGGUAAUCACCGGGAAAGUUUUUUGAUACUCUCCCGGAUACUACUAUUUUUCGGUCGUCACACUGAUUCGACCAUUUUCCAGUACUCGUCAGGACAAUUUUUCGAUACUCACACGGAUUCUACCUUUCCCCGGUACUCUCCCGGAUACUACUAUUUUUCGGUCGUCACACUGAUUCGACCCUUUUCCGGUACUUCUCAGGACAAUUUUUUGAUACUCGCAUGGAUCCUACCUUCUCCCGGUACUCGCCCGGAUUCUAUUAUUUUUCGGUACUCACAAUUAUUCAACCCUUUUUUGGUAAUCACCGGGAAAGUUUUUCGAUACUCGCACGGAUUCUACCUUUUCCUGGUACUCUCCCGGAUACUACUAUUUUUCGGUCGUCACACUGAUUCGACCCUUUUCCGGUACUCGUCAGGGCAAUUUUUCGAUACUCGUACGGAUUCUCCCGUUUCCCGGUACUCUCCCGGAUUCUUCCAUUUUUCGGUACUCACAUUAAUUCGACCGUUUUUUGGCAAUCACCGGGACAGUUUUUCGAUACUCGCACGAAUUUUACCUUUUCUUGGUACUCUCCCAGACACAACUAUUUUUCGGUCGACACACUGAGUCGACCAUUUUUCGGUACUCGUCAGGACAAUUUUUCAAUACUCGCAUGGAUUCUACCUUUUCCCGGUACUUGCCCGGAUUCUAUUAUUUUUCGGUACUCAAAAUUAUUAGACCCUUUUUUGGUAAUCACAGGGAAAGUUUUUCGAUACUCUCCCAGAUACUACUAUUUUUCGGUCGUCACACUGAUUCGACCAUUUUCCGGUACUCGUCAGGACAAUUUUUCGAUACUCGCACGGAUUCUCCAUUUUCCCGGUACUCGCCCGGAUUAUUCCAUUUUUUGGUACUCACAUUAAUUCGACCCUUUUUUGGCAAUCACCGGGACAGUUUUUCGAUACCCGCACGAAUUCGACCUUUUUCUAGUACUCUCCCGGAUACUACUAUUUUUCGGUCGUCACAAUGAUUCGACCCUUUUCCGGUACUCGUCAGGACAAUUUUUAAAUACUCGCAUGGAUUCUUUCUUUUCCCGAUACUGGCCCGGAUUCUAUUAUUUUUCGGUACUCACAAUUAUUCGACCAUUUUUUGGUAAUCGCCGGGACAGUUUUUCGAUACUCGCAUAGAUUGUACCUUUUCCAAGUACUCGCCCGGAUUCUAUUAUUUUUCAGUAGUCACAAUUAUUCGAACCUUUUUUGGUAAUCGCCCGGACAGUUUUUCGAUACUCGCACAGAUUCUACCUUUUCCGGAUAUUCUCCCUGAUUCUACUAUUUUUUGGUACUCACACUAAUUCGACCAUUUUCCGGUACUCGUCAAGACAAUUUUUCGAUACUCGCAUAGAUUCUACCUUUUCCCGGUACUCGCCCGGAUUCUAUUAUUUUUCGGUACUCAUAAUUAUUCGACCCUUUUUUGGUAAUCGCCGGGAAAGUUUUUCGAUACUCUCCCGGAUACUACUAUAUUUCGGUCGUCACACUGAUUCGACCCUUUUCCGGUACUUGUCAAGACAAUUUUUCGAUACUCGCAUGGAUUCUACCUUUUCCCGGUACUCGCCCGGAUUCUAUUAUUUUUCGGUACUCACAAUUAUUCGAACCUUUUUUGGUAAUCGCCGGGACAGUUUUUAGAUACUCGCACAGAUUCUACCUUUUCCCGGUACUGUCCCUGAUUCUACUAUUUUUCGGUACUCACACUGAUUCAACCAUUUUCCAGUACUCGUCAGGACAAUUUUUCGAUACUCGCAUGGACUCUACCUUUUCCCGGUACUCGCCCGGAUUCUCUUAUUUUUCGGUACUCACAAUUAUUCGACCAUUUUUUUGUAAUCACCGGGAUAGUUUUUCGAUACUCGCACGGAUUCUACCUUUUCCCGGUACUCUCCCUGAUUCUACUAUUUUUCGGUACUCACACUGAUUCAACCAUUUUCCAGUACUCGUCAGGACAAUUUUUCGAUACUCGCAUAGAUUCUACCUUUUCCCGGUACUCGCCCGGAUUCUAAUAUUUUUCGGUACUCACAAUUAUUCGAACCUUUUUUGGUAAUCGCCGGGACGGUUUUUAGAUACUCGCACAGAUUCUACCUUUUCCCGGUACUGUCCCUGAUUCUACUAUUUUUCGGUACUCACACUGAUUCAACCAUUUUCCAGUACUCGUCAGGACAAUUUUUCGAUACUCGCAUAGAUUCUACCUUUUCCCGGUACUCGCCCGGAUUCUACCAUUUUUCGGUACUCACAUUAAUUGGACCGUUUUUUGGCAAUCACCGGGACAGUUUUUCGAUACUCGCACGAAUUUUACCUUUUCUUGGUACUCUCCCAGACACAACUAUUUUUCGGUCGUCACACUGAUUCGACCAUUUUCCAGUACUCGUCAGGAAAAUUUUUAGAUACUCGCAUGGAUUCUACCUUUUCCCGGUACUCGCCCGGAUUCUAUUAUUUUUCGGUACUCAAAAUUAUUCGACCCUUUUUUGGUAAUCGCCAGGAAAGUUUUUUGAUACUCUCCCGGAUACUACCUUUUCCUGGAACUCUCCCAGACACUACUAUUUUUCGGUCGUCACACUGAUUCGACCAUUUUCCAAUACUCGUCAGGACAAUUUUUCGAUACCCGCAUGGAUUCUACCUUUUGCCGGUACUCGCCCGGAUUCUAUUAUUUUUCGGUACUCAAAAUUAUUCGACCCUUUUUUGGUAAUCAACGGGAAAGUUUUUCGAUACUCUCCCGGAUACUACUAUUUUUCGGUCGUCACACUGAUUCGACCCUUUUCCGGUUCUUGUCAGGACAAUUUUUCGAUACUCGCACGGAUUCUCCAUUUUCCCGGUACUCGCCCGGAUUCUUUCAUUUUUCGGUACUCACAUUAAUUCGACCCUUUUUUGGAAAUCACCGGGACAAUUUUUCGAUACUCGCACAGAUUCUACCUUUUUCGGUACGCUCCCUGAUUCUACUAUUUUUCGGUACUCACACUGAUUCAACCAUUUUGCAGUACUCGUCAGGACAAUUUUUCGAUACUCGCAUGGAUUCUACCUUUUCCCGGUACUCGCCUGGAUUCUAUUAUUUUUCGGUACUGAUAAUUAUUCGACCCUUUUUUGGUAAUCGCCAGGAAAGUUUUUCGAUACUCUCCCGGAUACUACCUUUUCCUGGUACUCUCCCAAACACUACUAUUUUUCGGUCGUCACACUGAUUCGACCAUUUUCCGGUACUCGUCAGGACAAUUUUUCGAUACUCGCAUGGAUUCUACCUUUUCCAAGUACUCGCCCGGAUUCUAAUAUUUUUCGGUACUCACAAUUAUUCAAACCUUUUUUCGUAAUCGCCGGGACAGUUUUUAGAUACUCGCACAGAUUCUACCUUUUCCCGGUACUCUCCCUGAUUCUACUAUUUUUCGAUACUCACAUUGAUUCGACCAUUUUCCAGUACUCGUCAGGACAAUUUUUCGACACUCGCAUGGAUUCUACCUUUUCCCGGUACUCGCCCGGAUUCUCUUAUUUUUCGGUACUCACAACUAUUCGACCCUUUUUUGGUAAUCGCCGGGAAAGUGUUUCGAUAUUCUCCCGGAUAAUACUAUUUUUCGGUCGUCACACUGAUUCGACCCAUUUCCGGUACUCGUCAAGACAACUUUUCGAUACUCGCAUGGAUUCUACCUUUUCCCGGUACUCGCCUGGAUUCUAUUAUUUUUCGGUACUGAUAAUUAUUCGACCCUUUUUUGGUAAUCGCCAGGAAAGUUUUUUGAUACUCUCCCGGAUACUACCUUUUUCCUGGAACUCUCCCAGACACUACUAUUUUUCGGUCGUCACACUGAUUCGACCAUUUUCCAAUACUCGUCAGGACAAUUUUUCGAUACUCGCAUGGAUUCUACCUUNCCAAGUACUCGCCGGGAUUCUAAUAUUUUUCGGUACUCACAAUUAUUCGAACUAUUUUUCGUAAUCGACGGUACAGUUUUUAGAUACUCGCAGAGAUUCUACCUUUUCCCGGUACUCUUCCUGAUUCUACUAUUUUUCGGUACUCACACUGAUUCGACCAUUUUCCAGUACUCGUCAGGACAAUUUUUCGAUACUCGCAUGGAUUCUACCUUUUCCCGGUACUCGCCCGGAUUCUCUUAUUUUUCGGUACUCACAACUAUUCGACCCUUUUUUGGUAAUCGCCGGAAAAGUUUUCGAUACUCUCCCGGAUAAUACUAUUUUUCGGUCGUCACACUGAUUCGACCCAUUUCCGGUACUCGUCAGGACAAUUUUUCGAUACUCUCAUGAAUUCUACCUUUUCCCGGUACUCGCCCGGAUUCUAUUAUUUUUCGGUACUCAUAAUUAUUCGACCCUUUUUUGGUAAUCGCCAGGAAAGUUUUUCGAUACUCUCCCGGAUACUACUAUUUUUCGGUCGUCACACUGAUUCGACCCUUUUCCGGUACUUGUCAGGACAAUUUUUCGAUACUCGCACGGAUUCUCCAUUUUUACGGUACUCGCCCGAAUUCUUCCAUUUUUCGGUACUCACAUUAAUUCGACCCUUUUUUGGCAAUCACCGGACAGUUUUUCGAUACUCACACGAAUUCUACCUUUUCCUAGUACUCUCCAGGAUACUACUAUUUUUCGGUCGUCACACUGAUUCGACCUUUUUCCGGUACUCGUCAGGACAAUUUUUCAAUACUCGCAUGGAUUCUUCCUUUUCCCAGUACUCGCCCCGUUUCUAUUAUUUUUCGGUACUCACAAUUAUUCGACCCUUUUUUGGUAAUCGCCGAGACAGUUUUUCGAUACUCGCACAGAUUCUACCUUUUCCCAGUACUCUCCCUGAUUCUAUUAUUUUUUGGUACUCACACUGAUUCGACCCUUUUCCGGUACUCGUCAGAACAAUUUUUCGAUACUCGCAUGGAUUCUACAUUUUCUAAGUCCUCGCCCGGAUUCUAUUAUUUUUCGGUGCUCACAAUUAUUCGAACAUUUUUUGGUAAUCGCCGGGACAGUUUUUCAAUACUCGCACAG
rnacentral:lncRNA from 1 species